CCAGGUCGUGAAAUUCCACGUUGAUAUCCGUUCUGGUUGCUGUCUGAUGGGGUAAUUCCGGUCGAAAUGCACUACACUUUUUUUUUAUAUAAACCUUCACGUAUUCACUUUUACUAGCUUGGACUCAGUUCAAAUUUAGUGAUGACUUUUCGAACUUAUGUCACUUUAGUAAAUUGUGUACUUCGGACUUUUGACACUUGUAACUGUCAGUCGCGUUUCUCGAAAUGGGAAACUAGAGAGGAGCAAAUGGACGAUGUUACUUCCUAGAAAAUUUAUGCGAAACUGAGCUGCGAUGAGCUCGUAUUUGGUUUUAUUGCAGUAAAAACAAAUGAGGCGUUGUCAUGGGAUUGUCAUACCAAACCUUUGAGAAAUUUUAUUUUCAAUUUAUUAACUUUCUGCAUGUUUUAUACUGCACGAUGAUUAAAUUUUCAGAUUCCUUGAAUUUUUUUACAUUUUUUGAUACCAGUAACAUCUUUCUAGGUCUAGCUUGAAACUCGUGACUAAAUUUUACUUAAUAUUGCAAAUUGUAGUUAAAUUAUGUUAUAUAACUUAUUUUUUUACA